CCCUUAGCGGGGCGACGCUUCCAACGCGACCCCAGGUCAGGCGGGAUUACCCGCUGAAUUUAAGCAUAUCAAUAA
rnacentral:rRNA from 1 species